rnacentral:rRNA from 1 species
GAUGAACGCUGGCUACAGGCUUAACACAUGCAAGUCGAGGGGAAACGACGGGGAAGCUUGCUUCCCCGGGCGUCGACCGGCGCACGGGUGAGUAACGCGUAUCCAACCUGCCUCUGACUGAGGGAUAACCCGUCGAAAGUCGGCCUAAUACCUCAUGGCAUCGUCUGCGGGCAUCCAACGACGAUUAAAGAUUUCAUCGGUCAGAGAUGGGGAUGCGUCUGAUUAGCUUGUUGGCGGGGUAACGGCCCACCAAGGCGACGAUCAGUAGGGGUUCUGAGAGGAAGGUCCCCCACAUUGGAACUGAGACACGGUCCAAACUCCUACGGGAGGCAGCAGUGAGGAAUAUUGGUCAAUGGGCGAGAGCCUGAACCAGCCAAGUAGCGUGCAGGAGGACGGCCCUAUGGGUGGUAAACUGCUUUUAUGCGGGGAUAAAGUGAGGGACGUGUCCUUCAUUGCAGGUACCGCAUGAAUAAGGACCGGCUAAUUCCGUG